rnacentral:rRNA from 1 species
UACGUAGGGGGCAAGCGUUGUCCGGAUUUAUUGGGCGUAAAGAGCGUGUAGGCGGCCUGAAAGGUCAGCUGUGAAAACUCGAGGCUCAACCUCGAGACGUCGGUUGAAACCAUCUGGCUAGAGUCCGGAAGAGGAGAGUGGAAUUCCCGGUGUAGCGGUGAAAUGCGCAGAUAUCGGGAAGAACACCCGUGGCGAAGGCGGCUCUCUGGGACGGUACUGACGCUGAGACGCGAAAGCGUGGGGAGCGAACAGGG